rnacentral:rRNA from 1 species
GGGCACUCUAAGGAGACUGCCCGGGUGACAAAACCGGAGGAAAGGUGGGGAUGACGUCAAGUCAUCAUGGCCCUUACGGCCUGGGCUACACACGUGCUACAAUGGUCGGUACAAAGGGUUGCCAAGCCGCGAGGUGGAGCUAAUCCCAUAAAACCGAUCGUAGUCCGGAUCGCAGUCUGCAACUCGACUGCGCGAAGUCGGAAUCGCUAGUAAUCGUGAAUCAGAAUGUCACGGUGAAUACGUUCCCGGGCCUU